GAUGAACGCUGGCGGCGCGCCUAACACAUGCAAGUCGAACGGCACCCCUCCUCGGAGGGAAGCGAGUGGCGAACGGCUGAGUAACACGUGGAGAACCUGCCCCCUCCCCCGGGAUAGCCGCCCGAAAGGACGGGUAAUACCGGAUACCCCGGGGUUCCGCCUGGCACCCCGGCUAAAGCCCCGACGGGAGGGGAUGGCUCCGCGGCCCCUCAGGUAGACGGCGGGGUGACGGCCCCCCGUGCCGACAACGGGGAGCCGGGUUGAGAGACCGACCGGCCAGAGUGGGACUGAGACACGGCCCAGACUCCUACGGGGGGCAGCAGUGGGGAAUCUUGCGCAAUGGGGGGAACCCUGACGCAGCGACGCCGCGUGCGGGACGGAGGCCUUCGGGUCGUAAACCGCUUUCAGCAGGGAAGAGUCAAGACUGUACCUGCAGAAGAAGCCCCGGCUAACUACGUG
rnacentral:rRNA from 1 species